rnacentral:rRNA from 1 species
GUAGGAUCCGAGCGUCAUCCGAAUUUACUGGGCGUAAAGCGCGUGUAGGCGGCCGGGUAAGUUGGACGUGAAAGCUCCUGGCUCAACUAGGAGAGGUCGUUCAAAACUGCCUGGCUAGAGGGCGACAGAGGGAGGUGGAAUUCCCGGUGUAGUGGUGAAAUGCGUAGAUAUCGGGAGGAACACCAGUGGCGAAGGCGGCCUCCUGGGUCGCCCCUGACGCUCAGACGCGAAAGCUAGGGGAGCAAACGGGGAUUAGAUACCCCGGUAGUCCUAGCUGUAAACGAUGUGGACUUGGCGUUGGUGGGGUCAAAUCCAUCAGUGCCGGAGCUAACGCGAUAAGUCCACCGCCUGGGGACUACGACCGCAAGGUUA